GUUGUAUAGUCAAGUAAUUAAGUGCAUGUGGUGGAUGCCUUGGCAGUCAGAGGCGAUGAAAGACGUGAUAGCCUGCGAAAAGCUCCGGGGAGGCGGCAAAUAUCCUUUGAUCCGGAGAUGUCUGAAUGGGGGAACCCACCUACUUUAAGGUAGGUAUUGCAACAUGAAUACAUAGUGUUGCAAGGCGAACGAGGGGAAGUGAAACAUCUCAGUACCCUUAGGAAAAGAAAUCAAUUGAGAUUCCCUCAGUAGCGGCGAGCGAACGGGGAUCAGCCCAUUAAGUUAUGUGUGUUUUAGUGGAACGCUCUGGGAAGUGCGAACGUAGAGGGUGAUAUUCCCGUACACGAAAGGGCACACAUAAUGAUGACGAGUAGGGCGAGGCACGUGAAACCUUGUCUGAAUAUGGGGGGACCAUCCUCCAAGGCUAAAUACUCCUGACUGACCGAUAGUGAACCAGUACCGUGAGGGAAAGGCGAAAAGAACCCCUGUGAGGGGAGUGAAAUAGAUCCUGAAACCGCAUGCAUACAAGCAGUGGGAGCACCUUCGUGGUGUGACUGCGUACCUUUUGUAUAAUGGGUCAGCGACUUAUAUUCAGUAGCGAGGUUAACCGUAUAGGGGAGCCGUAGAGAAAUCGAGUCUUAAUAGGGCGUUUAGUUGCUGGGUAUAGACCCGAAACCAGGCGAUCUAUCCAUGAGCAGGUUGAAGGUUGGGUAACACUAACUGGAGGACCGAACCCACUGUCGUUGAAAAGCCAGGGGAUGACUUGUGGAUAGGGGUGAAAGGCUAAUCAAGCCUGGUGAUAGCUGGUUCUCCCCGAAAGCUAUUUAGGUAGCGCCUCGGACGAAUACCAUAGGGGGUAGAGCACUGUUUCGGCUAGGGGGUCAUCCCGACUUACCAAACCGAUGCAAACUCCGAAUACCUAUGAGUAUUAUCCGGGAGACAGACUGCGGGUGCUAACGUCCGUAGUCAAGAGGAAAACAAUCCAGACCGCCAGCUAAGGCCCCAAAAUCAUAGUUAAGUGGGAAACGAUGUGGGAAGGCAUAGACAGCUAGGAGGUUGGCUUAGAAGCAGCCACCCUUUAAAGAAAGCGUAAUAGCUCACUAGUCGAGUCGGCCUGCGCGGAAGAUGUAACGGGGCUAAAACUAUGUGCCGAAGCUGCGGAUGUAUACUUUGUAUACGUGGUAGGGGAGCGUUCUGUAAGCCGAUGAAGGUGUGUUGAGAAGCAUGCUGGAGGUAUCAGAAGUGCGAAUGCUGACGUGAGUAACGACAAAACGGGUGAAAAACCCGUUCGCCGAAAGACCAAGGGUUCCAGUCCAACGUUAAUCGGGGCUGGGUGAGUCGACCCCUAAGGCGAGGCCGAAAGGCGUAGUCGAUGGGAAAAUGGUUAAUAUUCCAUUACUUCUGUGUAAUGCGAUGAGAGGACGGAGAAGGCUAAAUCAGCCUGGCGUUGGUUGUCCAGGUGAAAGGAUGUAGGCAUGUAUCUUAGGCAAAUCCGGGGUACUCUAUGCUGAGAUCUGAUAGCAAGCUGUACUUGUACAGCGAAGUGGUUGAUGCCAUGCUUCCAGGAAAAGUCUCUAAGCUUCAGUUACACAGGAAUCGUACCCGAAACCGACACAGGUGGUCAGGUCGAGUAGACCAAGGCGCUUGAGAGAACUCUGCUGAAGGAACUAGGCAAAAUGGUACCGUAACUUCGGGAGAAGGUACGCUGUUGUUGGUGAUGGAACUCGCUUCCUGAGCUGACGACAGCCGCAGAAACCAGGCCGCUGCAACUGUUUAUUAAAAACAUAGCACUCUGCAAACACGAAAGUGGACGUAUAGGGUGUGAUGCCUGCCCGGUGCUGGAAGGUUAAUUGAUGGGGUUAGCGUAAGCGAAGCUCUUGAUCGAAGCCCCAGUAAACGGCGGCCGUAACUAUAACGGUCCUAAGGUAGCGAAAUUCCUUGUCGGGUAAGUUCCGACCUGCACGAAUGGCAUAAUGAUGGCGGCGCUGUCUCCAGCAGAGGCUCAGUGAAAUCGAAAUCGCUGUGAAGAUGCAGUGUACCCGCGGCUAGACGGAAAGACCCCGUGAACCUUUACUGCAGCUUGACACUGAACUUUGACCUUACUUGUGUAGGAUAGGUGGGAGGCUUUGAAGCUGGAACGCUAGUUCCAGUGGAGCCGUCCUUGAAAUACCACCCUGGUAAUGUUGAGGUUCUAACUCUGUCCCGUGAUCCGGGACGAGGACCGUGUCUGGUGGGUAGUUUGACUGGGGCGGUCUCCUCCUAAAGAGUAACGGAGGAGUACGAAGGUGCGCUCAGCGUGGUCGGAAAUCACGCGUAGAGUAUAAAGGCAAAAGCGCGCUUAACUGCGAGACCCACAAGUCGAGCAGGUACGAAAGUAGGUCUUAGUGAUCCGGUGGUUCUGUAUGGAAGGGCCAUCGCUCAACGGAUAAAAGGUACUCUGGGGAUAACAGGCUGAUACCGCCCAAGAGUUCAUAUCGACGGCGGUGUUUGGCACCUCGAUGUCGGCUCAUCUCAUCCUGGGGCUGAAGCAGGUCCCAAGGGUAUGGCUGUUCGCCAUUUAAAGAGGUACGCGAGCUGGGUUUAGAACGUCGUGAGACAGUUCGGUCCCUAUCUACCGUGGGCGCUGGAAAUUUGAGAGGAUCUGCUCCUAGUACGAGAGGACCAGAGUGGACGAACCUCUGGUGUACCGGUUGUGACGCCAGUCGCAUCGCCGGGUAGCUAUGUUCGGAAGGGAUAACCGCUGAAAGCAUCUAAGCGGGAAGCCUACCUCAAGAUAAGAUUUCCCUAGGACUUUAUGUCCUCUAAAGAGCCGUUCGAGACUAGGACGUUGAUAGGUUGGAUGUGGAAGCAUAGUGAUAUGUGAAGCUGACCAAUACUAAUUGCUCGUGAGGCUUGACUAUACAACACCCAAGCAGUUG
rnacentral:rRNA from 1 species